rnacentral:rRNA from 1 species
CUACGUGCCAGCAGCCGCGGUAAUACGGAAGGUCCGGGCGUUACCCGGAUUUAUUGGGUUUAAAGGGAGCGUAGGCUGGAGAUUAAGUGUGUUGUGAAAUGUAGACGCUCAACAUCUGACUUGCAGCGCAUACUGGUUUCCUUGAGUACGCACAACGUUGGCGGAAUUCGUCGUGUAGCGGUGAAAUGCUUAGAUAUGACGAAGAACUCCGAUUGCGAAGGCAGCUGACGGGAGCGCAACUGACGCUGAAGCUCGAAGGUGCGGGUAUCGAACAGGAUUAGAUACCCUGGUAGUCCGCACAGUAAACGAUGGAUGCCCGCUGUUGGUACCUGGUAUCAGCGGCUAAGCGAAAGCAUUAAGCAUCCCACCUGGGGAGUACGCCGGCAACGGUGAAACUCAAAGGAAUUGACGGGGGCCCGCACAAGCGGAGGAACAUGUGGUUUAAUUCGAUGAUACGCGAGGAACCUUACCCGGGCUUGAAUUGCAGAGGAAGUAUUUAGAGAUA